CACGGGGGGAGCAAGCGUUGUUCGGAUUCAUUGGGCGUAAAGAGCUCGUAGGUGGCUCUGUAAGUCGGAGGUGAAAGACCACGGCUCAACCGUGGAAACGCCUUCGAAACUGUGGAGCUUGAGGCUGGGAGAGGGAAUCGGAAUUCCUGGUGUAGCGGUGAAAUGCGUAGAUAUCAGGAGGAACACCAGUGGCGAAGGCGGUUGCCUGGAGCUUUGCUGACGCUGAGGCGCGAAAGCGUGGGGAGCGAUCCGG
rnacentral:rRNA from 1 species